GGAUGUGAAGACGAUCUGGCUGUUACACCCAUCGCUUUAUUGAUGACUAGGGUUGGUAUCACUGAUCUGUAUGGCUGUUGUGGUGGCUCUUCUUUCACCACCCAGUGCGCGUCUCUGCUAAAACAGUGUCCUCAUCCUAUAGCAAUGUGAUUGGUUGAAGACGAUGGGCUUCCCUGACAGAAGAGGACCAGCUUUGGGUCAAAGGUACUUAAGCAGCUGGAACCUCAAAAUAAGCUCUCAAGAUACAUUGUAUUGCAUUUUCAAAGAAUAAACAAAAAUCUUACUCAAUAAGGAAAAAAGAGGGAAGAGAAAAAAGUA
rfam:Rattus norvegicus chromosome 4, whole genome shotgun sequence.